CACGUGAGGAACCUGCCCCGAAGACCGGGACAACAUCGGGAAACCGUUGCUAAUACCGGAUGCCCUCGAAGGAUCGCAUGGUCCAUCGAGGAAAUGGAUUCCGCUUCGGGAUGGCCUCGCGGCCUAUCAGCUUGUUGGUGAGGUAACGGCUCACCAAGGCUUCGACGGGUAGCUGGUCUGAGAGGAUGUCCAGCCACACUGGGACUGAGACACGGCCCAGACUCCUACGGGAGGCAGCAGUUAGGAAUCUUGCGCAAUGGACGAAAGUCUGACGCAGCGACGCCGCGUGCGGGAUGAAGG
rnacentral:rRNA from 1 species